AGCCCCGGAGCCCUUUAUGGGCUCAUUAUUAAACUUGCAUUUUAAUGUGAAUCACUUCGGGGCCUU
rnacentral:tRNA from 1 species